CUCAAUAAAUCUUGAAAUAGUUACAACUCUUGAAAAAACGAAAUAACCCAAACAAAACAACUUUUCAAAUAACGCUUAAGAAUUCGUUACAGAAAAUGUCAGAGGAUUCUCCAAUCGCCACACGAAAGCGUUCUCAUCCAAGUACAAGCCCAAUUAAACGACUGUACUCUGUAGUCACUAUGAAUGAAAAUGGAGUGGCUAAGAAGUGCAUAGUGCCUUUGCAUUGGGUAAAUGAAGUAGAUCAAAUAGUUUAUUGGCCACCACAAGGGAAAAAACCGAUUCACUACUACACAAGCAAGUGGUUAACACCAGAUCUAUCGUGGCAAGUAUUUGAAUUAGUUAAAAUAUCGCUAGAGAAAGGUACUCGAGAAAUGUGUAAUGACUGCUUGUUUCUUGAUUCAGAAUUGUCGCAUAGUGAUUUUGCAGAACCUGGCAAUGUUCAGACAUCUAACCCACAUCGAGAAAGUCCUGACAUAAUGGUUGAAAAAGUGCAGAGUUGGGUUGGACGUUCACCAAAACAUGUACUAGCGCGUGACUUUUCCUCUGGAAUAUCAGUAAUUGCAGCAGAAGCAAAAAAAAAACUAGAAAAAGAAAAAGUAUGUAAAAUAAGUUUAUUUUCAGGUGAGCCUUUGAGUCCACCUUCACCACAAUGCAGCUCUACUUUUUUAUUAUCAAAGCAACUACCACAAGAGUCAACUAGACAUGCUAGAAAGGGAAAUCCUCUACUUGGUAACUACAGAGAACCACCACCUUCAUUUAAGUGCAUGGAUCAAAGACAAUGGCAGUAUGCAUUUUUUAUGGAAAUGGCAGAGAUCAAGUCAUCCCAAAGAAAUAUUCUUGCUGCAAUUGAAAGUCUAGGUCGGCGAACGGAACUCGAAAGUUCUUCGCUUUUCAUUAGUAAAUGUCAUUCCCUUGAAGAAUUUGAUUCUUUUGAACAAAAAUUGGAGUCUAAUGCGGAAUUUAGUAUUUUAAUAAAACGUUUGAAACAACUAGGUGGAGGAACACCAUCGCAGCUUGUCAGCAAGUGCAUCAAUCAGACUCUUGAUAAGAGUGUACAAGCCCAGUUCAACAAAACAGGAAGUAAUGGGAAACGUGCUUUUAAAAAGACGCUACUCUGCAAAGCAAUUUUAGGUUGGAUUUAGCAGAAGUUAAAUCAACCCAAGAACAUAUUGUUACUGCGCUUAAAAGGCUAGGAUGGAGAACUGAGCCAAAAAGUUUUUCGCUUUUAAGAGAUAAAUGUCACUCACUUGAAGAAUCUGAUGCUUUCAAAAACAAGGCAGCAACUAAAAUGAAGGUUACGGAUAAAGAAUGAUAAAGGUGGCAAGUCUAGGGUUUUUCUAUUAUUUUUUUAUGUAAUUUUUACUGGGAAAAUCAAGUUUGUAUGUAAAUGAAUUUUUUAAAGUACUGUUACUUUUAUUAAGUAAAAAAAUGUUAUUCAUACUAUAAAA
rnacentral:misc_RNA from 1 species